AUUGAACGCUGGCGGCAGGCCUAACACAUGCAAGUCGAACGAGUGGCGGACGGGUGAGUAAUGUCUGGGAAACUGCCUGAUGGAGGGGGAUAACUACUGGAAACGGUAGCUAAUACCGCAUACCAUCAGAUGUGCCCAGAUGGGAUUAGCUUGUUGGUGGGGUAACGGCUCACCAAGGCGACGAUCCCUAGCUGGUCUGAGAGGAUGACAAGACACACUGAAACGGAUACAGGGUCCAGACUCCUACGGGAGGAAGCAGGGGGGAAUAUUGCAAAAUGGGCGCAAGCCUGAUGCAGCCAUGCCGCGUGUAGGAAGAAGGCCUUCGGGUUGUAAAGUACUUUCAGGGGGGAGGCGUUACCCGAAGAAGAAGCACCGGCUAACUCCGUGCCAGCAGCCGAGGUAAGAC
rnacentral:rRNA from 1 species